rnacentral:rRNA from 1 species
CAGUAGCCACGGGAAUACGGAGGGUGCAAGCGUUAAUCGGAAUUACUGGGCGUAAAGCGCACGCAGGCGGUCUGUCAAGUCGGAUGUGAAAUCCCCGGGCUCAACCUGGGAACUGCAUUCGAAACUGGCAGGCUAGAGUCUUGUAGAGGGGGGUAGAAUUCCAGGUGUAGCGGUGAAAUGCGUAGAGAUCUGGAGGAAUACCUGUGGCGAAGGCGGCCCCCUGGACAAAGACUGACGCUCAGGUGCGAAAGCGUGGGGAGCAAACAGGAUUAGAUACCCCAGUAGUCCCUGUCUCUUAUAC